rnacentral:tRNA from 1 species
AAACAUAGAAGUAAAAAUACAAUUAGUUUCGACCUAAUAUAAGAGAAAAUUUUCUCCAUGUUUA